AUAAUAAUCUAGACAUAACAUGUCCAAAUUACAACUCAUUAAUUGACCCAAAUUAUUGA
rnacentral:rRNA from 1 species